GACGAACGCUGGCGGCGUGCUUAACACAUGCAAGUCGAACGGAAAGGCCCUGCUGUUGUUGGGUGCUCGAGUGGCGAACGGGUGAGUAACACGUGAGUAACCUGCCCUUGACUUUGGGAUAACUUCAGGUAACUGGGGCUAAUACCGGAUAGGAGCUCCUGCUGCUUGUUGUGGGUUGGUAAGUUUCGGCGGUUGGGGAUUGACUCGCGGCAAAUCAGCUUGUUGGUGUGGUAGUGACUUACCAAGGCUUUGACGGGUAGCCGGCCUGAGAGGGUGACCGGCCACAUUGGCACUGAGAUGCGGCCCAGACUGCUACGGGAGGCAGCAGUGGAGAAUAUUGCACGAUGGGCGGAAGCCUGAUGCAGCAACGCCGCGUGGGGGAUGACGGUCGUCAGGUUGUAACCCGCGUUCGCCUGUGACGAAGAGUCAGUGACGGUAACGGGUAAAGAAGCACCGGCUAACUACGUG
rnacentral:rRNA from 1 species